rnacentral:rRNA from 1 species
GACGAACGCUGGCGGCGUGCCUAAUACAUGCAAGUCGAACGCAGUGGGGACGGUUUAGUAACACGUGGGUAACCUCCCAUCAGAGGGGAUAACACUUGGAAACAGGCGCUAAACCGAUAGUGAUGUAUGAACGCGCGGGGGAUUAGCUAGGUGGGGAGGUAACGGCGCACCAAGGCCACGAUGCAUAGCUGGCCUGAGAGGAUGAUCGGCCACACUGGGACUGAGACACGGCCCAGACUCCUACGGGAGGCAGCAGUGGGGAAGCUUGGGCAAUGGACGAAAGUCUGACAGAGCCACGCCGCGUGAGUGAAGAAGGUUUUCGGAUCGUAAAGCUCUUUUGUCAGAGAAGCGGUAUCUAAACAAGAAGCCACGGCUAACUACGUGCCAGCAGCCGCGGUAAUUC